GUUCGGUAGCGUUCACUGAUUUCCCGACGACAAGGAGGAGGAAGAGGGGGUUGAACUUGAGAGGCUGUAGAAACAGGAAUUCAAUAUGUCACGUGGUUAGAAUUUCUGCGGAAAGGAGUAGCGAAGGGAUAAACCCGACGGAUAGCGGCGGCGGCAGUAGUAGCGGAGGGGUUGGUGGAGGUUUCACGGGAGGUGCGAUGGAGGUUACCACAUUCGA
rnacentral:lncRNA from 1 species